rnacentral:rRNA from 1 species
UACGGGGGGGCAAGGCGUUGUUCGGAAUUACUGGGCGUAAAGGGCGCGUAGGCGGCUCAGCACAAGUCAGUUGGUGAAAUCUCCGGGCUUAACUCGGAAAGGUCAACUGAUACUGUGCGACUAGAGUGCAGAAGGGGCAACUGGAAUUCUCGGGUGUAGCGGUGAAAUGCGUAGAUAUCGAGAGGAACACCUGCGGCGAAGGCGGGUGCUGGGCUGACACUGACGCUGAUGCGCGAAAGCGUGGGGAGCAAACGGG